rnacentral:tRNA from 1 species
GCCCGUCGUGGCUCAGUGGUAGAGCGGCUUACCUGUAAUCAGUGUGUCGCCGGUUCGAGUCCGGCCACGGGCGCCA